rnacentral:rRNA from 1 species
GAUGAACGCUGGCGGCGUGCCUAAUACAUGCAAGUCGAGCGAACAGACGAGGCGCUUGCUCCUCUGACGUUAGCGGCGGACGGGUGAGUAACACGUGGAUAACCUACCUAUAAGACUGGGAUAACUUCGGGAAACCGGAGCUAAUACCGGACAAUAUAUUGAACCGCAUGGUUCAAUAGUGAAAGACGGUUUUGCUGUCACUUAUAGAUGGUUCCGCGCCGCAUUAGCUAGUUGGUAAGGUAACGGCUUACCAAGGCAACGAUGCGUAGCCGACCUGAGAGGGUGAUCGGCCACACUGGAACUGAGACACGGUCCAGACUCCUACGGGAGGCAGCAGUAGGGAAUCUUCCGCAAUGGGCGAAAGCCUGACGGAGCAACGCCGCGUGAGUGAUGAAGGUCUUCGGAUCGUAAAACUCUGUUAUUAGGGAAGAACAAAUGUGUAAGUAACUAUGCACGUCUUGACGGUACCUAAUCAGAAAGCCACGGCUAACUACGUG